UUAAUACUUAUAGUUUAAAAUGGGAUGAAUUAUUGUUACUGUGACUAGGAAGUUCACAGCUGAAGUUGUAACAACUGACUGAACUGUUGUUGGGCAUAACUGAAGAGCUUUAGCUGUUAAAGUGAGCAUCAGUGAAUUAAAGAUUAAGAAAGAUGAAAAUACGUCAAUUACGUAAGACGGUGGAAUGUAUGAAUCCAAGAAACGCACUAAAACUUGAGGAUUUUCGGGGGAAAGCGCAAAUUUGGCGCAUAUUCCAGCAAAUGCAGCACACACUCCAGCAAGAGAAGCAUUUGUCACACCACUUGGAGCCAUAACCGUUUGAAUCUUGAAGCUUUCCUAUACCUAUUAAUCGGGAAAUUGUAUUAAAUUACAUGAUUUUUGUAGGUCUUUUGUUAACAGUCAAAUGGAUUCGUCCAUUGAAUAGCUCGCUGGCCUCUGGUGUGCAGUUUCCGCAACCGUGCAGGAACGGUUAGUACUAAGAUUAGCUCCCUUGUCACUACCUAAACCACUCAAUUGAACAAAUUCAAGCUCUUUGAAAAUCUUGAUCCAUUUGGCAUUUGCCAUCCAAGAAAAUACGUAAAAUUUUGAAGAAAAUUCGGAAGUCAGGAUCAUUAUACUAAAAAGUCUAAUCGUGAAACCUUUAUGCAAUAGAUGCCGCUAAAUGUCUUUCCCGUUGGCUUAGACGAGGUGUACUGUAUUAAAGUGGGAUGCGUUUAAGAAAAAGAAAAGUGGGAUCAAUACUCACUACUUACUUGGCUUUUUAUAAUAUUAUGAAGCCAAAGUUGAAUUAUUGGAACUAACCUCCCGCAAUAUAGGAUUUAAAAAUGAGUUUUUUACCUUGUCAACCAAGGACGAAUUCUCAUUUUUGCACUGGAAAAUAAAAAAAACAUCCCAAUUGGCAGUGAAAAAAAAAAAAAAAACGAAACAAAAACACCAGGGCCACACAGAAAUCUUUCAUCUUCAUACCUUUGGCCCACAAUGCGACGGUUGGCAAAUAUUGAUCUGGUCGCAGUGUCCGCCAGUCGACGUGACUUUUUUUUUUUUUUUUUUCCCCAUUACAUAAAAGCCUAUCUACCAGGUAUGUACAGAAUCAUCAAGUUUACAAUGCUUCAGAGCUUAAGCGAAAAAACAAGGUACGUCACAAGUGACAUCGAGUCCUGUUUGUCUUCCGAUUUUUAUCUUUAUUAUACAUUAGACCGUCGUACGAAUACCGUGCCAAAAGUACUAGGGCAAAACAAAAAAGGAAGAAGUUUUGACCCCGUCAUAUGAUUGCCCUGAAGCUAUUUUCUUUUUCUGAUUAAUUUGUUUGUUCACAAACUCAUUUCUCUCUUUUUAAAGAUUUUUCAGUUGUUUAGACCCGCUCGUGCUUGCGGCCAUUGGGUCACUACGUAUACGUUUAAAGAAGGACCUUUGAUAUGGACGACUGUUUGCUGUUGCUACGCCACAGCACUGUCGCGCAUAAUAAUGGGUUGAUUCAAAAUGCAUAAACGAGAAAGCAGUUCAUGCAAAACCCGUCCAGGUAACACACAUUACUACUGCGUAGCUCAUAGAAACCUCUUAUACGUUUUUAUCCAUACAAAAGUAUUUACAUUUCCGAAAUUGGCUGGUUCAACAUGAAAAUCUGUUUGGCCUUGUACCAGAAUUUCAAGUGUGAAAAAGACCGAUUCCGUACAGAUUUUAAUAAGCAAUCAAAAACUAGUUUAAAACUCGUAUAGAAUGCAAUUCGUUUCAGUUUAUGAUAGGCCUUUAUGUCUGCCUUUCUUGUUGAUACUAUUAUAAGUUUUUUGUAUUUAUUUUAUUGCGCGUUUACAAAGGCUAUUCAUUCGUCGUGACGUAGCAUACUGUACAUUGAUAAUGACCAAUGGUAUAUGCAUGUAUAAUUAUUCAUAUUUAUUGACGGAAUUGGUACGUUAUAGCGGUCACAUUCUUUAAUAGGCCUGUUGUAUUGCGAGUCCAUGUUUCUCGUUUCCAAAAGAAAUGUUCAGUCCUGGAAAAAAGUAGCAAGCGAAAAAUGUGAUACUUUUUCUUGCUGGAAACAAGAGUCUUGUAAGUUAACAAAACCCAACUUUUCAGAUUCCAUGUAUGUUUACAAAUUCAAAGAAAGAAAGGAAAAAAUUGAUCUCACUGGCUACGGCUAUGUUGCUAGCACGACUAUGUAUCGAUUUGGCAACCGGAGACGUGUUGUCCGGUCGUAUACGGAUUUCCAGUGUUAGAUUCAAAUUUCGUUUUCCGGCAGACUGGACACAUAUUUUUUAAUUUUUAAAACGACACGUAUGAUCCGAAAUAAUCCUGACUUUUUUUUACUCUUGUGCUCUUGAUGAUUCUCAGAAGAAAAUUAUGGUCUUCUUUAGCGUGGGUAAAUUCUGCGGAAAAGGGGGAGCGUUACGGUGUUUAUUUUUCAUAUGUUCCGGUCUGUAGCAGCUUCCGGACAUGGCUUUUUAACUUAUGUUUCCUUGUCUGGCAAUUCUUCGUAAUUGGUCAAUGAUGCAGCACAAUUUUUAAGAAAUCGACAAAUCAUCAUGUCCAAUAGGAUACACACCAUUCUGAAAGCAGCAAGAAUUACCGAUCGAUCAAUCAGCUAUUUGUCUUAGGUAUAAUCAAAUGAAAAGACCGCCUUCAAACCUAUUAUUUUUUUACUAUUAUAAAGAUUGACUUUCUCUUAUUAAAACAUAUUCGAAAUAGAAGAAAAUAAGGGUGCAGCUGGUUGUCUAUAAUAUACUGUGUAUAUAAUAUUUUUUUCUUAUUUU